rnacentral:rRNA from 1 species
UGGGGGAUAUUGCACAAUGGGCGAAAGCCUGAUGCAGCGACGCCGCGUGGGGGAUGAAGGCUUUCGGGUUGUAAACCUCAUUCGCUAUCGAACAAGGCCCGCUUAGGGUGGGUUGAGGGUAGGUGGAGAAGAAGCGCCGGCUAACUACGUGCCAGCAGCCGCGGUAAUACGUAGGGCGCGAGCGUUGUCCGGAAUUAUUGGGCGUAAAGGGCUUGUAGGCGGCUUGUUGCGCCUGCUGUGAAAACGCGGGGCUUAACUUCGCGCGUGCAGUGGGUACGGGCAGGCUUGAGUGUGGUAGGGGUGACUGGAAUUCCAGGUGUAGCGGUGGAAUGCGCAGAUAUCUGGAGGAACACCGAUGGCGAAGGCAGGUCACUGGGCCAUUACUGACGCUGAGGAGCGAAAGCAUGGGUAGCGAACAGG